UGUAUAUGCAUGUGUGUGUAUAUAUAUAUAUGGUUGUGUGUUUGUUUUUAUAUAAAUAUAUUUAUUGAAGCAGAUAUUGAAGCAGUAAAAGGUAUAGAUAUAAACUUUCCCCUCUAGUUCUGUUCAUUGACAGGGACUAGAAGCAACCACAUCCUGUACAAUAAGCACACCUAACACCAGAUCUUGGUUUCUAAAUUCCAUUCUGCACAGAAGUACAUGGGGCACCUUAUAAAAAUGGCUGAUUCCUGGGUUGGGGCAUGGAAAGUAGAAAAUUGAGCCUGGAACAUCCUUCUGUGAUAGAGAGUACAGCAAGUCUCAAAUAACAAGGAGGACAUGUCAAAAGGAUACAGGAGCCAGCUUAAAGGGGCUGCCACUGGCCAUAUCUGGAACAAUUGGAACAUUAAAAUAAAUAAUAACAGCGAAAGAUUAUGAUCAGUUCAAUAAAAUGAGAACAAUAACAAGUAAUAGUAUAUAACUUAUAUAAUUACAUAUAAAUAUAUAAAUAAUAAAAUAAUAAGAAAGGCAGUUCAAGCCUCCUACUCUCCCACCUUGAACCCACCUUGAACUUGGGCAAGUAAUUCUACUUCCCUAAACUUUAAUUUCUUCCCCUAUAAAAUGGUGCCUAAAAUUGUGGUUUAAGGGUUAAAUGAGACAACAGGUAAGAGAAGAGCUUUGGAAACAAAGUAUCUAAGCAGGCGUUAUACGUUAUACGUUAUACGUUAUUCCUAGGACUUGUUUGCAAGAACAGUUUACAGCAGCACCUAAGAAUACUACAUUAAGAGUGAGUUGCUGCUAGACUACUUCACCGUAAUCCUGGUGAGCGAGAAGCCUUACGGUGCGUGCUGCGUGCGUGUGCGUGCUCACCGGCGAGCGGGCGGGUGAGGUGGAGGUGGGAAUGGAAUCGUCAGGCUCAAAAUGCAGCGAUAAUAUUGAAGAACCGUGAAGCAAAGGUGGUGGCUCUGAAAGCUAAGAGUUAAGAGCAAAUGAACACGCAACUGGGAGAGAGUGAACAGCAGGGCCUUUGAGAUCUGGCUGUGUGUGAUGUCAAUGCUCCCAUACCACUGCCACAUCUCCAAAGUUCCCAUGGGGUGAUAGGUCGUCUUGAAUUUGCUAAUUCUGAUGACAGCCAAGGAAGUUAGUUUAAAGUUCUUGGGUACUUUUGUGGGGUGUGUCUUCUCUGCUCUUCCCAGUUCACCGGUUUCUACACUUCUGAGUGAUAGGCAUGUCUCCAGCUCUAAGCAUGGGGUGGGUAAUGUUUUUCAGCCAGAGCAUCUAGAGCCCCCACGGCAAGAGGGUGGAGAAUGAAAGUAUGGAUAGGGCCACCACAGAACCAGUAACGCCCAGAAAAAACCAUUCAUCUUUGAUGGUUGCAUAUAAAACUCCCUACUAAAGGAUCAGUAGGUAGGUUUGAGAAGCUGGAAAUUUUACUUCAUCAGUCCCUGGCACCAUAUAUGGAAGUACUUUAAGACUUAGACUUUAAAUGACAGUGAUCCUAUGGAUAUCUUUACCACUCUUUAAUACUGCUCACCCCCUGAAGCCCCUUAGGAAGAGGGGGUUCAGUUCAUAAAAUCCUGGUAGCACCCAGCAAAUGUGGGGGCCUUGGCUUUCUGAGCUUGAAGCUCUCUUUGGUUCAGUCAUUGCAGGCUCCUGCUUAAGUGUAAUUCUCAAAAAGUUAGAAGACUUGACUCCACAAAAGACAUAAAAUGAAUAUAUGUCAAAGAUCUGAUUCAAUUCAUUAGUUAAUAGGAGAGAAAUAAGAUAUUAAAAGUAAUCCAAAGGGCAUUUGAGAAAUGGGAGUGUGUGUGUGUGUGUGUGUGUGUGUGUGUGUUUGUGUACAUAGUAAAGAAAUAUUAAGAUAAGAUUUCUGGAUACAAAACUGCCUUAUAAACUAUAACUUAAAAAUUAUCUUUUCCACAGAACACAAAUUGUUCAUAUUUAACCUCAAAAAAUCUGUAAGUUAAUACGGACCUAUAAUUCAUAAUAAACACUAACUGCAAUUAAAUAGUCCAUUUCUCUAAUCUUUGGGUGGUCUGGCCCCUGUGUGGCAUAGAAAGGAUAGGCUGCCCACCUUUCCCCUCAUCUCCAAGUUUUAGAUAAUUUUGGUGAUAUUCCCUGAGAGAAGGAGCCAUGCAGCAGUGCUGAGAGUCAUGGCGGAAUGGUGUUCUGAUGGUCCGUCUUCCAGCCAGGGAGUUGCCACGGCUUCACCCAAGAUGUCAGCACCACUUACCAAGCUUCCCCAAUGAACAGAGUGCAAAACAGCUGAAGAAGGAUCCUCAUUACUCAAAAGAUACGUUGACACACCUCUGGGCUUUGAGCCUGUGAGAAGGGCCCAGCUCUCUGCCACUUAAAGUAGCAACAUGGUUGAUGACAUUCUUCUUUGGCCCGCUCCCUGUGAGAGAACACAAACCACUCCAAGAUGAGCUGGAAUGCAGCCUUCAUCAUAGGACGAUGAUCUUUUCCAACUGUAUUCAAGUCUGGAGUUCUUCGGGUAAAAAUUAAUCUUCCUGUGGACUCCAGAGGGCCCAUGGGAUUUUCCUUUUGGAUUAGUUGGAUGGUAGCAAGAGGUGUCCUUUGAUCUUUAAGAACAGCUGCAAAAAGGAAAAAAGAAAGAAGAAAAAGUCAAGAUUGGCCACACUUAGGACUUUGGUGGAAUUACAGGAGAAGAGACCAAGGUGACUUUUCAAUCAGCUCAUCCUUUAAGGGAAGGCUCUGCAAAUGUUCAUCGAGAAAGACCAGUGGAACUGAGAAGACCCUCAACAUGGACAGAAAAUGGAACUGCCCAACCAGAGGGAAAGGAGAUCCUAUCAAAGAAAAAGGAGGUAAAUAAAUUAAAAUUCCCAGGUAAUGUGUACUAAUGUCACAUUUUUUGUAGUGAUUAACUUUAUACUUAAGUAAGUUUGGGACAAUCGUGUAAAAAGAAUGACAACUAUUUGGUGGGGGAAAAAAAAAAAGGACUAUGAGUCUAUGUUCAAUAUCGCAAACAUUCUAGUGCUGAAGAGGUGUCACUGUAUCAAAAUGAUGGGUUUGGUUGAUUCUACUGAAAUGAAAUACUGACCACUAUAAGUUUUUACCUAUGAGACAUGGCUAGCAGUGAAGGGAAAAGGUGAUUGGCCAAAAUGAACACAAAUAGACACAUCAAGGGAUGACUACAUUUGGUCAGGACUUUUGAAGCUUAGAGUCAGUCUCCGGUCUAACUUUUAAUAUAUGCUUUUAUCAGUUCUGAGCUCUGUCUAGUAAAAUUUUUACUUGAAAGAAUUGGUCAAUAGUUUGAAUACUUUAAAGAGAAGAAAUCAUCAGAUAAGAUGGGGUUGGGAUGCUGCUUAGACAUAAUACCAUCCCUUCUAUGCUCAGCUAAAGUGUUGGUCUUAACCCCAGUAAGUAGGGUGCUUGAGAGAGUAUAUCAGUCGAGCUGCAAAGCGAAGGUAAUAUCUGAGAAUUUUCUGUUAUUGACUGAAUUUUUCUCUUUUGUUUAGGCCAGAGCUGGC